rnacentral:rRNA from 1 species
GGUUAAGCGACUAAGCGUACACGGUGGAUGCCCUGGCAGUCAGAGGCGAUGAAGGACGUGCUAAUCUGCGAAAAGCGUCGGUAAGGUGAUAUGAACCGUUAUAACCGGCGAUGUCCGAAUGGGGAAACCCAGUGUGAUUCGUCACACUAUCGUUAACUGAAUACAUAGGUUAACGAGGCGAACCGGGGGAACUGAAACAUCUAAGUACCCCGAGGAAAAGAAAUCAACCGAGAUUCCCCCAGUAGCGGCGAGCGAACGGGGAGCAGCCCAGAGUCUGAAUCAGCUUGUGUGUUAGUGGAACGGUCUGGAAAGUCCGACGGUACAGGGUGAUAGUCCCGUACACCAAAAUGCACAGGCUGUGAACUCGAAGAGUAGGGCGGGACACGUGGUAUCCUGUCUGAAUAUGGGGGGACCAUCCUCCAAGGCUAAAUACUCCUGACUGACCGAUAGUGAACCAGUACCGUGAGGGAAAGGCGAAAAGAACCCCGGCGAGGGGAGUGAAAAAGAACCUGAAACCGUGUACGUACAAGCAGUGGGAGCACCUUCGGGUGUGACUGCGUACCUUUUGUAUAAUGGGUCAGCGACUUAUAUUCUGUAGCAAGGUUAACCGUAUAGGGGAGCCGCAGGGAAACCGAGUCUUAACUGGGCGUUAAGUUGCAGGGUAUAGACCCGAAACCCGGUGAUCUAGCCAUGGGCAGGUUGAAGGUUGGGUAACACUAACUGGAGGACCGAACCGACUAAUGUUGAAAAAUUAGCGGAUGACUUGUGGCUGGGGGUGAAAGGCCAAUCAAACCGGGAGAUAGCUGGUUCUCCCCGAAAGCUAUUUAGGUAGCGCCUCGUGAAUUCAUCUUCGGGGGUAGAGCACUGUUUCGGCUAGGGGGGUCAUCCCGACUUACCAACCCGAUGCAAACUACGAAUACCGAAGAAUGUUAUCACGGGAGACACACGGCGGGUGCUAACGUCCGUCGUGAAGAGGGAAACAACCCAGACCGCCAGCUAAGGUCCCAAAGUCAUGGUUAAGUGGGAAACGAUGUGGGAAGGCACAGACAGCCAGGAUGUUGGCUUAGAAGCAGCCAUCAUUUAAAGAAAGCGUAAUAGCUCACUGGUCGAGUCGGCCUGCGCGGAAGAUGUAACGGGGCUAAACCAUGCACCGAAGCUGCGGCAGCGACACUAUGUGUUGUUGGGUAGGGGAGCGUUCUGUAAGCCUGCGAAGGUGACCUGUGAGGGUUGCUGGAGGUAUCAGAAGUGCGAAUGCUGACAUAAGUAACGAUAAAGCGGGUGAAAAGCCCGCUCGCCGGAAGACCAAGGGUUCCUGUCCAACGUUAAUCGGGGCAGGGUGAGUCGACCCCUAAGGCGAGGCCGAAAGGCGUAGUCGAUGGGAAACAGGUUAAUAUUCCUGUACUUGGUGUUACUGCGAAGGGGGGGGACGGAGAAGGCUAUGUUAGCCGGGCGACGGUUGUCCCGGUUUAAGCAUGUAGGCUGGUUAUCCAGGCAAAUCCGGAUAAUCAAGGCUGAGGUGUGAUGACGAGGCACUACGGUGCUGAAGUAACAAAUGCCCUGCUUCCAGGAAAAGCCUCUAAGCAUCAGGUAACAUCAAAUCGUACCCCCAAACCGACACAGGUGGUCAGGUAGAGAAUACCAAGGCGCUUGAGAGAACUCGGGUGAAGGAACUAGGCAAAAUGGUGCCGUAACUUCGGGAGAAGGCACGCUGGUGUGUAGGUGAAGUCCCUGCGGAUGGAGCUGAGACCAGUCGAAGAUACCAGCUGGCUGCAACUGUUUAUUAAAAACACAGCACUGUGCAAACACGAAAGUGGACGUAUACGGUGUGACGCCUGCCCGGUGCCGGAAGGUUAAUUGAUGGGGUUAUCCGUAAGGAGAAGCUCUUGAUCGAAGCCCCGGUAAACGGCGGCCGUAACUAUAACGGUCCUAAGGUAGCGAAAUUCCUUGUCGGGUAAGUUCCGACCUGCACGAAUGGCGUAAUGAUGGCCAGGCUGUCUCCACCCGAGACUCAGUGAAAUUGAACUCGCUGUGAAGAUGCAGUGUACCCGCGGCAAGACGGAAAGACCCCGUGAACCUUUACUAUAGCUUGACACUGAACAUUGAGCCUUGAUGUGUAGGAUAGGUGGGAGGCUUUGAAGCGUGGACGCCAGUCUGCGUGGAGCCAACCUUGAAAUACCACCCUUUAAUGUUUGAUGUUCUAACGUUGGCCCCUUACCGGGGUUGCGGACAGUGUCUGGUGGGUAGUUUGACUGGGGCGGUCUCCUCCCAAAGCGUAACGGAGGAGCACGAAGGUUAGCUAAUCCUGGUCGGACAUCAGGAGGUUAGUGCAAUGGCAUAAGCUAGCUUGACUGCGAGCGUGACGGCGCGAGCAGGUGCGAAAGCAGGUCAUAGUGAUCCGGUGGUUCUGAAUGGAAGGGCCAUCGCUCAACGGAUAAAAGGUACUCCGGGGAUAACAGGCUGAUACCGCCCAAGAGUUCAUAUCGACGGCGGUGUUUGGCACCUCGAUGUCGGCUCAUCACAUCCUGGGGCUGAAGUAGGUCCCAAGGGUAUGGCUGUUCGCCAUUUAAAGUGGUACGCGAGCUGGGUUUAGAACGUCGUGAGACAGUUCGGUCCCUAUCUGCCGUGGGCGCUGGAGAAUUGAGGGGGGCUGCUCCUAGUACGAGAGGACCGGAGUGGACGCAUCACUGGUGUUCGGGUUGUCAUGCCAAUGGCACUGCCCGGUAGCUAAAUGCGGAAGAGAUAAGUGCUGAAAGCAUCUAAGCACGAAACUUGCCCCGAGAUGAGUUCUCCCUGAGACUUUAAGUCUCCUGAAGGAACGUUAAAGACGAUGACGUUGAUAGGCCGGGUGUGUAAGCGCAGCGAUGCGUUGAGCUAACCGGUACUAAUGAACCGUGAGGCUUAACCUU